CCCUUAGAUGUUCUGGGCCGCACGCGCGCUACACUGAUGCAUUCAACGAGCCUAUCCUUGACCGACAGGUCCGGGUAAUCUUUGAAUCUGCAUCGUGACGGGGAUAGAUUAUUGCAAUUAUUAAUCUUCAAAGAGGAAUGCCUAGUAGGCGCAAGUCAUCAGCUUGCGUCGAUUACGUCCCUGCCCUUUGUACACACCGCCCGUCGCUCCUACCGAUUGGGUGUGCUGGUGAAAUGUUCGGAUCGGCCGUUUGUCGCGGUUUCCGCGUCAUGUGGCUGAGAAGUUCAUUAAACCCUCCCACCUAGAGGAAGGAGAAGUCGUAACA
rnacentral:rRNA from 1 species